CGGCGAGUGAAGCGGCAACAGCUCAAAUUUGAAAUCUGGCCCUCGGGUCCGAGUUGUAAUUUGCAGAGGAUGCUUUUGGCGCGGUGCCUUCCGAGUUCCCUGGAACGGGACGCCUUAGAGGGUGAGAGCCCCGUACGGUUGGACACCAAGCCUCUGUAAAGCUCCUUCGACGAGUCGAGUAGUUUGGGAAUGCUGCUCUAAAUGGGAGGUAAAUUUCUUCUAAAGCUAAAUAUUGGCCAGAGACCGAUAGCGCACAAGUAGAGUGAUCGAAAGAUGAAAAGCACUUUGAAAAGAGGGUUAAACAGCACGUGAAAUUGUUGAAAGGGAAGCGUUUGCGACCAGACCUCUUCCCGGCGGAUCAUCCGGUGGUUUCCACCGGUGCACUUCGCCGGGUCGAGGCCAGCAUCGGUCUCUGCAGGGGGAUAAAAGCCCUGGGAACGUAGCUCCUCCGGGAGUGUUAUAGCCCUUCGCAUAAUACCCUUGCGGGGACCGAGGACCGCGCAAGGAUGCUGGCGUAAUGGUCGUCAACGACCCGUCUUGAAACACGGACCAAGGAGUCGAACAUUUGUGCGAGUGUUUGGGUGUCAAACCCUCACGCGUAAUGAAAGUGAACGGAGGUGAGAGCCCUUACGGGCGCAUCAUCGACCGAUCCUGAUGUCUUCGGAUGGAUUUGAGUAAGAGCAUAACUGUUCGGACCCGAAAGAUGGUGAACUAUGCGUGGAUAGGGUGAAGCCAGAGGAAACUCUGGUGGAGGCUCGCAGCGGUUCUGACGUGCAAAUCGAUCGUCAAAUCUGCGCAUGGGGGCGAAAG
rnacentral:rRNA from 1 species